rnacentral:rRNA from 1 species
UACGGAGGGUGCAAUCGUUGUCCGGAUUCACUGGGUGUAAAGGGUGUGUAGGCGGAGCAGCAAGUCAGUGGUGAAAGCCUGCGGCUUAACCGUAGAAUUGCCAUAGAUACUGCUGUUCUUGAGUACUGGAGAGGCUGCUAGAAUUCGUGGUGUAGCGGCGAAAUGCGUAGAUAUCACGAGGAAUACCAGAGGCGUAGGCGGGUAGCUGGACAGAUACUGACGCUGAGGCACGAAAGCGUGGGGAGCAAACAGG